ACUCCUACGGGAGGCAGCAGUGAGGAAUAUUGGACAAUGGGUGGAAGCCUGAUCCAGCCAUCCCGCGUGCAGGAAGACGGCCCUAUGGGUUGUAAACUGCUUUUAUCUGGGGAUAAACCUACUUACGUGUAAGUAGCUGAAGGUACCAGAAGAAUAAGCACCGGCUAACUCCGUGCCAGCAGCCGCGGUAAUACGGAGGGUGCAAGCGUUAUCCGGAUUUAUUGGGUUUAAAGGGUCCGUAGGCGGACUGAUAAGUCAGUGGUGAAAUCCGACAGCUUAACUGUCGAACUGCCAUUGAUACUGUUAGUCUUGAGUAAGGUUGAAGUGGCUGGAAUAAGUAGUGUAGCGGUGAAAUGCAUAGAUAUUACUUAGAACACCAAUUGCGAAGGCAGGUCACUAAGUCUUAACUGACGCUGAUGGACGAAAGCGUGGGGAGCGAACAGGAUUAGAAACCCUUGUAGUCCCAU
rnacentral:rRNA from 1 species